AUACUCACAUGGUGGGGGAGACACCAUGAUCACAAAGGGGGUUUUCCCAGGGCGAGGCUUAUCCAUUGCACUCCGGAUGUGCUUACCCCUGCGAUUUCCCCAAAUGCAGGAAAAUCGACUGCAGAAUUUGUGGUAGUGAGGGACUGCAUUUGCGCUUUACCCUGU
ensembl:snRNA U1 U1 spliceosomal RNA